CGGGUGAGUAACACGUGGGUAACGUACCCUCGGGUGGGGAAUAACGAUUCGAAAGGAUCGCUAAUACCGCAUCAGACCACGUCCUCUGCGGAGGAUGAGGCCAAAGGUGGCUGUCGCAAGGCAGUUGCCGCCUGAGGAUCGGCUCGCGAACCAUUAGCUAGAUGGCGGGGUAAUGGCCCACCAUGGCUCCGAUGGUUAGCUGGUCUGAGAGGACGACCAGCCACACUGGAACUGACACACGGUCCAGACUCCUACGGGAGGCAGCAGUGGGGAAUAUUGCGCAAUGGGCGAAAGCCUGACGCAGCAACGCCGCGUGAGUGAAGAAGGCCUUCGGGUUGUAAAGCUCUGUCGGAGGGAAAGAAUACUACGGAUGACCUCCGUAGUUGACGGUACCCUCAAAGGAAGCACUGGCUAACUCCGUGCCAGCAGCCGCGGUAAUACGGAGAGUGCAAGCGUUGUUCGGAAUUAUUGGGCGUAAAGCGCGUGUAGGCGGUUCAACAAGUCUGGCGUGAAAGCCUUGAGCUCAACUCAAGAAGUGCGCUGGAAACUGUCGAACUUGAGUACUGGAGGGGGAGGUGGAAUUCUCGAGUGUAGAGGUGAAAUUCGUAGAUAUUCGGAAGAACAUCAGUGGCGAAGGCGACCUCCUGGACAGAUACUGACGCUGAGACGCGAAAGCGUGGGUAGCAAACAGGAUUAGAUACCCUGGUAGUCCACGCUGUAAACGAUGGAUGCUAGUUGUCG
rnacentral:rRNA from 1 species